CCUUACUUUUUGCAUUUCAUCCGUAUGGUGAAAAAAAUAUGCAAUUUUGUAACUUUACGAAUUAUUUCCUCCAAAAGGAAAUUU